rnacentral:rRNA from 1 species
GAUGAACGCUAGCGGCAGGCUUAAUACAUGCAAGUCGAGGGGUAGCAGGUCUGUAGCAAUACAGAUGCUGACGACCGGCAAACGGGUGCGGAACACGUACAGAACCUUCCUUCGAGUGGGAGAUAGCCCAGGGAAACUUGGAGUAAUAUCCCAUAGGAUCAUAGAGUGGCAUCACUUAGUGAUUAAAGAUUUAUCGCUUGAAGAUGGCUGUGCGGCGGAUUAGGUAGUUGGGGUAGGUAACGGCUCACCAAGCCUUCGAUCAGUAACUGGUGUGAGAGCACGACCAGUCACACGGGCACUGAGACACGGGCCUGACUCCUACGGGAGGCAGCAGUAAGGAAUAUUGGGCAAUGGAGGCAACUCUGACCCAGCCAUGCCGCGUGGAGGAUGAAGGUCCUCUGGAUUGUAAACUUCUUUUAUUUGGGAAGAAAUGCCGAUUUUCUAAUUGGUUUGACGGUACCAGAUGAAUAAGCACCGGCUAACUCCGUGCCAGCCGCCGCAGUAAGAC